ensembl:snRNA U6 U6 spliceosomal RNA
GUGCUUGCUUCAGCAGCACAUACACUAAAAUUGGAACAAUACAGAGGUUGGCAUGACCCCUGAGCAAGAAUGCACACAAAGCCAUGAAGCAUUCCAUAUGAAG